CGCCGCGGUGCUGAGGGAAGGGCUGUCGUGGCGGCGUGAGGGGCUGAGACAACUGAAAUGCUGAGAAUAUCACAAAACAAGAUGUUUGCAGCUUUGAAGUAUCACUCAACAGACUAUUUAUACGAGUUGGUUCAACACAGAACAUGAUGGCUAUUUCAGUAUUGGAUCAAUGGAAGAGAAGUUUACCUGUGGAGGAUUUCCUGGAAAAGAAACCUAUCUCCUCUGUAGAGUUUCAGAGUAGUAAUGAUUUAAUAGAAGUUAUUCCAAGUUCAAAUCCUUGCUCUCAGACUGACACAGAAGAAUCUUUUUUACUUAUGAAGAAUGGUUUUAAGGAAGACUCCACCCAAGACAAAUAUUUGAAGAUCUAUUAUGCCACUGAAUUUAAAGAACCACAAC
rnacentral:lncRNA from 1 species